AACGAACGCUGGCGGCAGGCCUAACACAUGCAAGUCGAGCGAGGACUUCGGUUCUAGCGGCGGACGGGUGAGUAACGCGUGGGAAUGUGCCCUUCUCUACGGAAUAGCCCUGGGAAACUGGGAGUAAUACCGUAUACGCCCUUUUGGGGAAAGAUUUAUCGGAGAAGGAUCAGCCCGCGUUGGAUUAGAUAGUUGGUGGGGUAAUGGCCUACCAAGCCGACGAUCCAUAGCUGGUUUGAGAGGAUGAUCAGCCACACUGGGACUGAGACACGGCCCAGACUCCUACGGGAGGCAGCAGUGGGGAAUCUUAGACAAUGGGGGCAACCCUGAUCUAGCCAUGCCGCGUGAGUGAUGAAGGCCUUAGGGUUGUAAAGCUCUUUCAGCUGGGAAGAUAAUGACGGUACCAGCAGAAGAAGCCCCGGCUAACUCCGUG
rnacentral:rRNA from 1 species